CGCGCGUCCCUGAGCCGCCCCUCAGCGCUGGCGCCCCCUCCUCGCAGGGAGCGAAGCGGGGGGCGGGAAACCCACACCGGCCUCCUGAGGAGAAGCACGGCAGGGGCGCUUUAACAGUGGGCUGGGUGCGGCGGGGCCCGCGGGGCAAAAGUAUAAAGCGUGAGGAGCGAGGCGAGCCCGCUGGGUACCGUUUCCCGUCUCGGAGGAGCAGGCGGGGCUGUCCCGUUCUCCUCAGGCUCCCGCCCUGCCCCGGGCCCGCAGCACGGCGGGGGCGGGGAGGCAGCGGUUGGUGAGGGCGGGUAGUUCAAACCCGAGCGAGGGAAAGCGGCGGCGGCCGCACGCGAGGGGCCGGUGUGGGUGGGGAGAGGCGAAGCGGCUCCUCGCCGGGGGCAACGGGCCCAGGGUCGGGCGGCGAGAGCUGCUAGGGCGGCACCGGCCUCGCUCCUCCAGCCUGCCCUCAGCCCCGCUCGGGGGGCCCCGCUGCCGCCUCAGCCGCGCCCCGUGGAAGGGCGGCCUCCAGGCUCUGCUCCUGUGCCCAGCGAUUUCCCAAAUGAGGGGGUGAAGCGGUUGCUUUGCUCGCGUCCGGCAUCCCAGGUGGAUGAGAGACUCACGGGUGCUGUUCCCUGGGUUAUCAGUAGGGGCAAGCAAUUCUAAUACAGCACAUUUACUGUGGAAGAUCUUGAGUUACUUCACAAAUUAGGUCCCCCUCCAGCUUUCUUGCAGGCCCCCAUUAGGUACCAGAAGGCCACAACAAGGUUUACCUGGAGCCUUCACUUCUCUGGGCUGAACAGCUCCAACACUCUCAGCCAGUUUUCACAGCAAAGGUACUUCAUCCCUCUGAUCAUUUUCACAUCCUACUCCAGAUUCGCUCCAACAUGUCCAUGUCCUCCAUAUUUUGGGGGCCCCAGGGCUGAACGCAGUACUCCAGGUGGGGUCUCACAAGAGCAGAAGGUAAAGAAGUAAAAUGAAGUAUAAAAUAGUAUGAAUGAAUGAAUAAGUAUAGAAUGAAGUGUAGAAAAGAGGUGAAAUGAAGCAGUUUGCUGGACAUUGUUCAUUCGGUGUCUGUACUGAAGUGACAAUUUUAUUUAUAUUAUCCUAUAAUACUUUGUAAUGUCGAUAAAAUCAAUGCAAUGAGCUCACAGGCUCCCCCUGCCGGACGUUGCACUAUGCACAGCAUAUUUUUGGCUUCUGCUUGACUUAACAGCAUUCCUUUAACUCCACUAUUUUGAUCUCCCUUACAGCUGCAAAAACCUUGUUUUGCUGUGAUUUUUAUGUUACUUGGAACACAAGUUUGAUUAAAUUAUUUUAUACUGUAAUAUUUUAAUUUUUUU